GACGAACGCUGGCGGCGUGCCUAAUACAUGCAAGUCGAACGCAGUGGGGACGGGUGAGUAACACGUGGGUAACCUCCCAUCAGAGGGGAUAACACUUGGAAACAGGUGCUAAACCGAUACUGAUGGAUGGACCCGCGUGGCAUUAGCUAGUUGGUGAGGUAACGGCGCACCAAGGCCACGAUGCAUAGACGACCGGAGAGGGGGUUGGGCCAGACUGGGACUGAGACACGGCCCAGACUCCUACGGGAGGCAGCAGUAGGGAAUCUUCGGCAAUGGACGAAAGUCUGACCGAGCAACGCCGCGUGAGUGAAGAAGGUUUUCGGAUCGUAAAACUCUGUUGUUAGAGAAGCGGUAUCUAACCAGAAAGCCACGGCUAACUCCGUGCCAGCAGCCGCGGUAAUUC
rnacentral:rRNA from 1 species